UACGAAGGGGGCUAGCGUUGCUCGGAAUCACUGGGCGUAAAGCGCACGUAGGCGGAUUGUUAAGUCAGGGGUGAAAUCCUGGAGCUCAACUCCAGAACUGCCUUUGAUACUGGCGAUCUUGAGUCCGGGAGAGGUGAGAGGAACUCCGAGUGUAGAGGUGAAAUUCGUAGAUAUUCGGAAGAACACCAGUGGCGAAGGCGGCUCACUGGCCCGGUACUGACGCUGAUGUGCGAAAGCGUGGGGAGCAAACAGG
rnacentral:rRNA from 1 species